GCAUAGCAAAAUACAGUUUGCCAUACUUUCCAAACAGAAAGUAUGCUCUAACUGUUACUGUUACUUUAAGACAAACAUUUGGUUUUCUGUUUAACAAUAUGAAGCCUGACGCUACACACUAUAGAGAACGUCUUUGAUAACGUAUACCAACUAGUAACAGUAUGUUAUAGUGUCGGUACAUUGUUUGACGUUAUGGAAAUAAAACUCGUGAGAAAUGGUGGCACUAUGGCAUCACCUCAAGUCAAACGGUCUGUACUCGCAGUAGCGCAACACACUAUCACACAUGAGUUUCACAAUACAGUACUUAUGCUCAACAAUCUGUCAUAUGGUUACAAGCAUUUGUAUUUGUAAAUGAAAUAUCCUAAGGUUUGCCGCUGCGCUGUCUGUCAGAUUAUUCAAGAAAAAAAAGCAAAAAGUGCAAAUCUUGGAUUUCCGAAUAAUUAAAAAAUACUUUGUCUCCGGCUCAACUGCGGAAUUUGAAAGUGCCUCCUAAACCGGAAUCGAAAGGUGGUGGGCCACAGGCCAUCGUGGCGGGCCGGCGCAACAGGCAACAAAAUUGAAGAUUUUUUCCGACACAUUCCGGCGAAAUGACCAACAAAGUGGACCUCGGUGACACUCGGUUCCCUUUCGAAAGGAUGUCCGGUUUCCUCAUCUCGCAAACGUGUACGUCGGUGUGCAUGAUCGUGAAGCGGAAGGUGGACAAUAAUCGCAAGAGGGUCUUGGACAAACGUGCUGCCGGAAUCCGGGCGGCGUUGUCGAAGGAGAAGGACAAGUGCACCAAGCUUUUAUGUCUCCACUACCUUCUCACCAACAGUCGGAACCUGCCGGAAUGGCACCGCCGAAGCAUGUUCAUUGUUGCCACCAGGGGGAAGGAGAAAUGCGUGCCAUUAUUUGUAAUUCGUAUAAGUAAUAAGUGUUUUUCAUCUUACCUUAAUAAACAAUCAUUAAUAUUUGGAGAAAUA